AGUAGACUGUGGAAGAGACAAGAACGGUGGAGAAUCUUCCCAAGUAUGCGUCAGCCAGAAAGCCUCCAAGCAAUGGCAUCAAAGUGGUAUAUGAUCAAACUUGUGGCUAUUCCAAAGUAACUCAGCCUCUCACUGAAUUCAAUCGCUGUUUGAAAGGACUCGAAUACAUACUGUGGGUGUGAAAUGCUGGAUUGCACUUAUGUAUGGUGUUACAUCAGAUGCUAUUGAAGAAGAGUGUAAUCUUAGGGUCCUUAUUAAGGGGAUAGUUUACUAUUAGAAGGAUAGGAGUAACCACCAAGAGGUCUCAGGUUCUAAUCCUAGUUAUAUAGUGUGAGAUCAUCUCGACCUUUUUAGGCAAACUUUACCUGACAUAUGUUUGUGUGGGUUGCAGUAGGCAGCCUGGUUGAUUAGUCGAGGUACACACUAGCUAGUCCGAACAUCAUUCUCACAAACAAAGUGCAAUAACUGAUAUCUUUAACUGAUGUUCAAAAUAUGAGGAAUUUUGUUGUAAUUCCUAGUAACUGUGGGUAAAUUUUUUGUCGUUCUUGGAAGUACUAUAAACUUCUUCCUUUUUUUUUUUAAUAAACAAAACUGGCAUUUUAUUCGUCUUCCAGCAAAAAAGAGUACAAUGAUCUGAGGGAGCUGAAGCUAACUGCAAGCUUCCCUAGUUAGUUUUGAAGAUAGUUUUAAACUAUCUUUGAUACAAUGGAAGAUGAAGUAAAUGAGAGUCAAGUCAUAUUUUUGAAUCAUACUUACGCAAAAGUCAGUUGUUUAUUUUACUUUCCUGGCUUGGUUCAUCUUGGUGACUGUUACAACAAGCUAAGAUAAUGGUGAUAAUAAAGGCCAUUGAUAUUUCUGAUUCCACAAAGUAGAUUAGUACAUUCUUUCCAUUUUACAUGACAGGCUUGUUAU